GAGCCAUUAGCUCAGUUGGUAGAGCAUCUGACUUUUAAUCAGAGGGUCGAAGGUUCGAGUCCUUCAAUGGCUCA
rnacentral:tRNA from 1 species